GAUGAACGCUGGCGGCGUGCCUAAUACAUGCAAGUCGAGCGAACAGACGAGGAGCUUGCUCCUCUGACGUUAGCGGCGGACGGGUGAGUAACACGUGGAUAACCUACCUAUAAGACUGGGAUAACUUCGGGAAACCGGAGCUAAUACCGGAUAAUAUAUUGAACCGCAUGGUUCAAUAGUGAAAGACGGUUUUGCUGUCACUUAUAGAUGGAUCCGCGCCGCAUUAGCUAGUUGGUAAGGUAACGGCUUACCAAGGCAACGAUGCGUAGCCGACCUGAGAGGGUGGUCGGCAACACUGGAACUGAGACACGGUACAGACGCCUACGGGAGGCAGCAGUAGGGAAUAUUCCGCAAUGGGCGAAAGCCUGACGGAGCAACGACGCGUGAGUGAUGAAGGUCUUCGGAUCGUAAAACUCUGUUAUUAGGGAAGAACAAAGGUGUAAGUAAAUAUGCACGUCUUGACGGUACCUAAUCAGAAAGCCAAGGCUAACUACGUG
rnacentral:rRNA from 1 species